rnacentral:tRNA from 1 species
ACGCUCGUAGCUCAGUGGAGAGAGCGCUGCCUUGCGAGGGCAGAGGCCGCUGGUUCGACUCUAGCCGGGCGUG